GGGAAAUCGUAGAUCCAAGAAUCCGGAGCUUUUGUUGCGGUCAGCUGCUGCCUUAGAUCGGAGGUGAUGGCGGGGGAGCAGAAGACGAUCUAUCACUUCGAUGAGGUCUCAAAGCACAACGCUACUAAGGAUUGCUGGCUCAUCAUCUCCGGCAAGGUGUAUGAUGUCACCCCAUUUAUGGAGGACCAUCCUGGUGGUGACGAGGUCUUGCUAGCCGCAACAGGUAAGGAUGCUACAGACGAUUUCGAAGACGUGGGGCAUAGCACAUCUGCUAGGGAGAUGAUGGACAAGUACUACAUUGGCGAGGUUGAUGUGUCGAGUGUUCCUACAAAGCGUGCUUACGUUCCACCCCAGCAGGCACCGUACAAUCCUGAUAAAACUUCCGACUUCGUGAUCAAGAUACUGCAAUUUGCAGUGCCAUUGCUGAUUCUAGGUUUAGCCUUCGGAGCCCGCCAGUUCACCAAAUCGGAGUAGGCACUAUCUGUGGCAUUCUCAAAGGCUAUUAUGUUAUCGAAUCUAUUUGGAACUUUUAUAUCAUGUUUCGCCUUAAAACUUAUGUUGUCUGUCCCGUAAGGGCCGUUUAUCUUGCUUGUGAUGAACCGGAGUUUAUA
rnacentral:misc_RNA from 1 species